GAUGAACGCUGGCGGCGUGCCUAAUACAUGCAAGUCGAGCGAACGGACGAGAAGCUUGCUUCUCUGAUGUUAGCGGCGGACGGGUGAGUAACACGUGGAUAACCUACCUAUAAGACUGGGAUAACUUCGGGAAACCGGAGCUAAUACCGGAUAAUAUUUUGAACCGCAUGGUUCAAAAGUAAAAGACGGUCUUGCUGUCACUUAUAGAUGGAUCCGCGCUGCAUUAGCUAGUUGGUAAGGUAACGGCUUACCAAGGCAACGAUGCAUAGCCGACCUGAGAGGGUGAUCGGCCACACUGGAACUGAGACACGGUCCAGACUCCUACGGGAGGCAGCAGUAGGGAAUCUUCCGCAAUGGGCGAAAGCCUGACGGAGCAACGCCGCGUGAGUGAUGAAGGUCUUCGGAUCGUAAAACUCUGUUAUUAGGGAAGAACAUAUGUGUAAGUAACUGUGCACAUCUUGACGGUACCUAAUCAGAAAGCCACGGCUAACCACGUG
rnacentral:rRNA from 1 species